ACGGAAGGCAGCAGUGGGGAAUAUUGGGCAAUGGGCGCAAGCCUGACCCAGCAACGCCGCGUGAAGGAAGAAGGCUUUCGGGUUGUAAACUUCUUUUAUCAGGGACGAAGGAAGUGACGGUACCUGACGAAUAAGCCACGGCUAACUACGUGCCAGCAGCCGCGGUAAUACGUAGGUGGCAAGCGUUAUCCGGAUUUACUGGGUGUAAAGGGCGCGUAGGCGGGGAUGCAAGUCAGAUGUGAAAUCUAUGGGCUUAACCCAUAAACUGCAUUUGAAACUGUAUCUCUUGAGUGUCGGAGAGGUAGAUGGAAUUCCUAGUGUAGCGGUGAAAUGCGUAGAUAUUAGGAGGAACACCAGUGGCGAAGGCGAUCUACUGGACGAUAACUGACGCUGAGGCGCGAAAGCGUGGGGAGCAAACAGGAUUAGAUACCCUGGUA
rnacentral:rRNA from 1 species